AUUAUUUUGGCAGAUUAGUGCAAUUGAUUUAGAAUCAUUUUAUGUAGUUUUACAAAUAAUA
rnacentral:tRNA from 1 species